UACGGAGGAGGCAAGCGUUAUCCGGAAUUAUUGGGCGUAAAGAGUCCGUAGGUGGCCAUUCAAGUCUGCUGUUAAAGCGUGGAGCUUAACUCCAUACCGGCAGUGGAAACUGAGUAGCUAGAGUUCGGUAGGGGUAGCGGGAAUUCCCAGUGUAGCGGUGAAAUGCGUAGAGAUUGGGAAGAACAUCGGUGGCGAAAGCGCGCUACUGGACCGAAACUGACGCUGAGGGACGAAAGCUAGGGGAGCGAAAGGG
rnacentral:rRNA from 1 species